GGUUGCAAAUUUGAGGCCAUAGCAGAAGCGCUCAUGGCGUGGCCUGUCAGAUCCAAUGAAUCUGCAAAAUCUGCU
rnacentral:lncRNA from 1 species